GACAGUUUUUAGCAGUGCAAUGGGGGAGUGACCAGGGGCUGUUCUGAGACAUUUUAGGAUAAAAAAAAGGGACAGAGGGAUUUUAGCUUAAAAUAGUGACUGUCCAUCCUCAGUGGGAACAUAAGGGAGGUAUGUAUUUAUUUCUCACUGCCAUUACAUAAGCUGCAGGAAGUUAAUUAUUCACCAAAGCGAGCAUCAUAAACUCUUGUUG